rnacentral:rRNA from 1 species
AUUGAACGCUGGCGGCAUGCCUUACACAUGCAAGUCGAACGAGUGGCGGACGGGUGAGUAAUGUAUCGGAACGUGCCCUAUGGCGGGGGAUAACUACUGGAAACGGAGGCUAAUACCGCAUAGCAUUGGAUGUGCCAAGGUUGGAUUAUCUAGUUGGUGGGGUAACGGCUCACCAAGGCAACGAUCCAUAGCUGGUCUGAGAGGAUGACCAGCCACACUGGAACUGAGACACGGUCCAGACUCCUACGGGAGGCAGCAGUGGGGAAUUUUGGACAAUGGGCGAAAGCCUGAUCGAGCAAUGCCGCGUGUAUGAUGAAGGCCUUCGGGUUGUAAAGUACUUUUAGCAGGGAAGCGGUACCUGCACAAGAAGCCCCGGCUAACUACGUGCCAGCAGCCGCGGUAAUAC